AAUGACAUAUUUGGAAAACUCUAGAUUAGUUUGGCUUAAGUUUUGGCUUAGAGCAUGAACUGAUAGGGAAGGAGUUUGGAGAAUAACUCAUCCUGGGGGUGAUUUGGCUUAAAGCAGGUAAAGUCUGCAGAUGAAGACGAUACAGAAGUUAAAAAGCUAACAAAAGAAACAGUUCUGCUGAUAUUUUUGCACUACUGGAUCCAGCCAAGUCUUUAGUUAACUUUCUCCUUAAUGUUUUAGAUAUGUGAGCUAAUAAAUUUUGAGUUUCAUGCCUUA